UCUCUCUUCAGUCCAUUGAACUAAAAUAUAUGGAACGCUACCUGCAGCCGGAAGUUUGAAGCCGCGAUUUCCGGUUAGAACCAAGUCUUUCCUCGCGAUAAAUACGCGCGGCCAAAACACAAGCAUUUAAAUUUGAUUUUAUAAAUUGUUUUAAAAAAUAUCCUUGAAAAUGCAAUCAUGUCGCUGCCGAAAGAUGUUUUUUAUUGAAUAAACUUUGUCUUUUUUAAUGAAAUUCAUGAAAACUAUGCCUAGUUUUUAUUUAAAAUUUACACUUACGUUAUUUGUUUUGUUUUUCGAAAUGCCAGGUGAGCAGAAUGCAAAGUUAAACCUAGUUUUGUCCCCGAGUGUGGAAAAAUAAAAAUCUUUCAUACGUACUUUUGACCGACCUUUAAACAUGACGAUAACAACCCUUAUGAGCCAUGAAUGAGGAAUAAGAAGAAAUAGAUAGUAUAUUAUUAUUUAUUUAUUAUUAUAAGUAUUUAUUUAUUCAUUUUACUUCACUAAAAAUUCACAUUUCACAGGUAUUUAUUUAUUUCUUGUUUACUUUACUAAAAAUUCACAUUUCACAGGUAUUUAUUUAUCCUUUGUUUACUUUACUAAAAAUCCACAUUGUUUCCUGCCAAUGUUCCCAAGCCGGCCAAGGUGGGCAAACGGAGAAACAAUGUUUCCGCAACUGUAAUCUUAGUCUGAACCUGGUAGGAAACAUUCUUGUUUCCCAAGAAGCAAAAUUGUUUCUGCAACAAUGUUUCCACAGGUGGGCAAAUGGGAAAACAUUUGAGGAAACAUCGAGAAUCACUAAUGUUUCUGCAACAAUAUUUCUUAGUUUGGGCUUAAUUAUACACAAAAAAAACAAACAUAAACCUGAUAUUUGUGAUGUUACUCUGAGUGUAUAUCCACACCGGGCGAGCUUGAAAAAUAUGCCAGGCCAUGGUGGGAUUCGAACCUACGACCUUUGGAAUACUAGCCAAAAAAAAAUCAUAUUACUAGAAUACAUUGGUAUCGAAGGAACUAGAUUCAGUUCCUAAAUAUCACUUACUCGAACCGCCCUGACCGCGUAGCUCAGUUGGAAGAGCAUUGGGCUAGUAUUCCAAAGGUCGUAGGUUCAAAUUCCUCCGUGGCUGGGCAUAUUUUUCAAGCUCGGCCCGUGUGGAUAUACACUCAGAGUAACAUCACAAAUAUCAUAUUCACCUGAGUACACAACACCAACACAGAAAAAAAACAACAAAAAAAAAACAUAAACCUGUGAUAUUAGAUACUUCAAAGAAAAUAUAACAAAAACAAGCCUAUUUUACACAUUUUGACUUUUGACAUGUGUACAUCACCUACAAAAAAAAACAAACACAAGAAUAAAUAAGACAAGCAGACAGACAGAAGGGUG
rnacentral:lncRNA from 1 species